UAAGUGCUUUACUAUAAAGUGAUCAAAUUAUGUUUUAUUUCUUACAUGCAAAGAAAAAAAAUGGUUAAAACUCUAAAGUUUGUGAAUGUUAUUAUUUUCUUUCUUUCACUUUUCCUUUCUGCACAUAACUUUUUCCUUGUUGCACAGAACAUAGACGCGAUUAUUAAAUGUGAAACUGUUGCUGAUUGUCCACCAGAUACUGAGCAUAAGAAAUAUAGGUGUGUAAAAAACAUAUGUAUAUAUCGUUGGUUUCUUUGAGUACUGGACUUAAUAGGUUGCCCUUACGCCAUGCAGGGAAGAAGAAAAUAAUAGUAUAUGCAAGAUACCUUUUGUUAGAAUAUCUCAUAAUAUGCAUUUAUUUAUUGUACUGGCAUUGAGUAAUUGAAUGUUUAAAUUUUUUUUUUUUUUUUUUAUUUCACCUAUAAGAAUAUUUGUAAUAGAUAAGUUGAAAAUAAAAAUAUUUUACUUUGAAAGCCUAUAA